GACGAACGCUGGCGGCGUGCUUAACACAUGCAAGUCGAACGGAAAGGCCCUGCUUUUGUGGGGUGCUCGAGUGGCGAACGUGUGAGUAACACGUGAGUAACCUGCCCUUGACUUUGGGAUAACUUCAGGAAACUGGGGCUAAUACCGGAUAGGAGCUCCUGCUGCAUGGUGGGGGUUGGAAAGUUUCGGCGGUUGGGGAUGGACUCGCGGCUUAUCAGCUUGUUGGUGGGGUAGUGGCUUACCAAGGCUUUGACGGGUAGCCGGCCUGAGAGGGUGACCGGCCACAUUGGGACUGAGAUACGGCCCAGACUCCUACGGGAGGCAGCAGUGGGGAAUAUUGCAAAAUGGGCGGAAGCCUGAUGCAGCAACGCCGCGUGCGGGAUGACGGCCUUCGGGUUGUAAACCGCUUUCGCCUGUGACGAAGCGUGAGUGACGGUAAUGGGUAAAGAAGCACCGGCUAACUACGUG
rnacentral:rRNA from 1 species